rnacentral:tRNA from 1 species
GCAGUGGUAGUUCAGUGGUAGAAUUCUCACCUCCCGUACAGGAGACCCAGGUUUGAUUCCUGGCCAGUGCA